rnacentral:rRNA from 1 species
GAUGAACGCUGGCGGCGCGCCUAAUACAUGCAAGUCGAGCGAACGGACGAGAAGCUUGCUUCUCUGAUGUUAGCGGCGGACGGGUGAGUAACACGUGGAUAACCUACCUAUAAGACUGGGAUAACUUCGGGAAACCGGAGCUAAUACCGGAUAAUAUUUUGAACCGCAUGGUUCAAAAGUGAAAGACGGUCUUGCUGUCACUUAUAGAUGGAUCCGCGCUGCAUUAGCUAGUUGGUAAGGUAACGGCUUACCAAGGCAACGAUGCAUAGCCGACCUGAGAGGGUGAUCGGCCACACUGGAACUGAGACACGGUCCAGACUCCUACGGGAGGCAGCAGUAGGGAAUCUUCCGCAAUGGGCGAAAGCCUGACGGAGCAACGCCGCGUGAGUGAUGAAGGUCUUCGGAUCGUAAAACUCUGUUAUUAGGGAAGAACAUAUGUGUAAGUAACUGUGCACAUCUUGACGGUACCUAAUCAGAAAGCCACGGCUAACUACGUGCCAGCAGCCGCGGUAAUACGUAGGUGGCAAGCGUUAUCCGGAAUUAUUGGGCGUAAAGCGCGCGUAGGCGGUUUUUUAAGUCUGAUGUGAAAGCCCACGGCUCAACCGUGGAGGGUCAUUGGAAACUGGAAAACUUGAGUGCAGAAGAGGAAAGUGGAAUUCCAUGUGUAGCGGUGAAAUGCGCAGAGAUAUUGGGGAACACCAGUGGCGAAGGCGACUUUCUGGUCUGUAACUGACGCUGAUGUGCGAAAGCGUGGGGAUCAAACAGGAUUAGAUACCCUGGUAGUCCACGCCGUAAACGAUGAGUGCUAAGUGUUAGGGGGUUUCCGCCCCUUAGUGCUGCAGCUAACGCAUUAAGCACUCCGCCUGGGGAGUACGACCGCAAGGUUGAAACUCAAAGGAAUUGACGGGGACCCGCACAAGCGGUGGAGCAUGUGGUUUAAUUCGAAGCAACGCGAAGAACCUUACCAAAUCUUGACAUCCUUUGACAACUCUAGAGAUAGAGCCUUCCCCUUCGGGGGACAAAGUGACAGGUGGUGCAUGGUUGUCGUCAGCUCGUGUCGUGAGAUGUUGGGUUAAGUCCCGCAACGAGCGCAACCCUUAAGCUUAGUUGCCAUCAUUAAGUUGGGCACUCUAAGUUGACUGCCGGUGACAAACCGGAGGAAGGUGGGGAUGACGUCAAAUCAUCAUGCCCCUUAUGAUUUGGGCUACACACGUGCUACAAUGGACAAUACAAAGGGCAGCGAAACCGCGAGGUCAAGCAAAUCCCAUAAAGUUGUUCUCAGUUCGGAUUGUAGUCUGCAACUCGACUACAUGAAGCUGGAAUCGCUAGUAAUCGUAGAUCAGCAUGCUACGGUGAAUACGUUCCCGGGUCU